rnacentral:tRNA from 1 species
GGGGUUGUGACUCAGUGGUAGAGUGCUCACCUCGCAUGUGUGAGGCACUGAGUUCAAUCCUCAGCACCA